CUAGCACCAUCGAUAAACUAGCUAGUUAGCCUGGUUGGUUCGUGGUGGAAGACGCCAGUAACAUUACCGCUAGGCCAAGGAAGAGUCCAAGUGACAGAGUUGAUUCAGAAUUCCAACAUUUGGAGGAAUGUUUCUGUGCCUGCUAACAGCCUCCACAGCCUCCACGAGGCUGAAGAUCCAGAUCCAACAGCAAAGCCAGGAAAUUCCUGUUGGGGUAGAUGGCUCUCUUCUCGAUCAAUUUCUGCAAAGCCCGUUUGAGCGUGAGGUGAUGGUAGAUCAUGAGGUACGCUAACACCAAGGUCGAUGAUCGGCUCAUUCCCAUGAUGCAGUGCACCAGAACCUUCCCUGAAGAACAGACAAGAUGAGGGAGACAGAGGGGUGGUGUGAAGGAAGGAUUAGAGGCUUCUGUCUUAUUAAUAUCAUACCUGACUACCCGUCUCACACUUUGGCCUUUCUUUUUUUUGCUGUGAGCUAAAAAUAGUGCCUACAAUUCAUUGCCUUUGUUCAUUUAAGGUCCCUUUGCCGGCUGGGCCCGACUGUCUCUUUAAUCCAACUCGUCCUGCGCUUGACAGCUUCUUUGAAAGGAGCCAUUGACACAUUAUAGACUUAAAUUCUGCAAGUCUGACAUGUUAGGUCCACAAACACUGUCUUGGAUCGAUUGCUGGUUCAAGUGUUUGUUGUAUCAAAGCAGUUCCCGUCCACACUGCCUCAGGAUGAUCUGUACGAACAGGUGUUUAUCUGCGGUCACUGAACAGUUACCCAAUUUAGUGCUUAACCUAGCGUGUAGUCUUACCCGUGCAGAGGGCAGAACAACAAACAGAGCAGACCGAGCUCUGCUUUUCAAACUGCGGUGGGACUCUAAUUUAAUAAGCCUCAAACAAAGAAUAAUUUCAUAAUGCAGUGAUAAUUGGAUGCAAUUAUGGACAAAAUGUUUACGUGCAUUGCUUUUACUGGAUGGCAGGAAGUCCACUUUAAUGCAGCUAGUUUACUGCCCUGAAAUACAUAUUGUGUGAAAGCAAAUCAACUCAAGAGGGAAAAAAUUAAGCUUUGCCGCUGGCUGCACACGACAUAAACAGCCCUCACACCGCUUUGAGUGUCUCUUUUAACCCUCCUAUUAUGUUGCAGGUCAAUUUCACCCAUUCCAGAUUUUAAAUAGAAGAAAAACAUAAUUAACCUCUCUUUUAAGCCUUGAAAUGUAUUUACCUCUCUUCCUGCAGGGUCAUGAACAUGUAUGGAAAAAGUGGUGCAAUGAUUUUUUGUAAAAAAAAGAAACUACUGCUGUUGUAUACAAAAAGUCAAUAAAGGUUUCCAGUCAUUUUAACCUGGAGACAUUAUUGAUUGAUUGCUGCAUCUGCUUAUUGAUGUAUCCACAGUGGUCUGUGUGCUUGGACCAAAUCCCACCUGAAAUGUUCAUAAAAAUAAAAUCCAUUCCUGUUGGUGAGUGUG